rnacentral:rRNA from 1 species
UUAUAAGAGACAGCAGUCGCCACGGUAAUGCGAAGGGGGCUAGCGUUGUUCGGAAUUACUGGGCGUAAAGCGCACGUAGGCGGAUAUUUAAGUCAGGGGUGAAAUCCCAGAGCUCAACUCUGGAACUGCCUUUGAUACUGGGUAUCUUGAGUAUGGAAGAGGUGAGUGGAAUUCCGAGUGUAGAGGUGAAAUUCGUAGAUAUUCGGAGGAACACCAGUGGCGAAGGCGGCUCACUGGUCCAUUACUGACGCUGAGGUGCGAAAGCGUGGGGAGCAAACAGGGUUAGAUACCCGAGUAGUCCCUGUCUCUUAUAA